GCGCCCUCCCGGCCUGGACGGCCCCGGCGCUGAGGGGGAGCCCCAGUAAUCUCACCUCAUCUUUGAUCAUUACUAUCAGGGUGCUGCAUUGCGCUUCUGCUGAGGGAGCGUUAAUUUCUGUGAUUGUCAAUAGCCAUGAAUAAUUCAAGGCGCUGCCGCGGAGGCUGAGGAGCCCGCGAUAAGGGUAUCGAGAGAUCAGCAGAGCCUCAAACUCUUUGGAAGUGAAGGGGAAAGUGUCCAAUUCGAUCCCUGGUUCGCCUGUAUCAGCUGGCCCCCGCGCAGCAGUUCACAUCCUGGCAGCAGUGCACACUCCUGUGCCGGCGGGACGCUGAGGGAUGUGGGGGUCCAGCAGCAGACCUCAGGGUGUCCAGUGCUCUGGUCCAGCUCCCUGAUCAAGGCUGGGUCAGCUCAGAGACUAUCUUAGCCCAGAUUCUGUUGCAGUUCCCUGCACUAAAAUCCAGAGCGGCUUGGAUGUGGUGGAGUUACAGCAGUACAAAUCAGGAUUUCAGGAUACUUCAGAAGGUGCACCCCUCUCCAGGCAGAGGAAAUGAGGAAGAGCUUGGCUGCAAGUAAUUGCUGCUGUGUGGAAAAUAGC